CUGGUUCAUCCUUUUGAGGAUGUUUUAUUGGGUGUAUUCACUGUAGCUUAAUGUGGAGCAGUUCAGAUGGUUCAGUAGUCAUGGUAUGAGCUUCAGAAGCAACACGAGCUAAAGCUCUCCAGAGAGCCAGUGGGAAUCCGAGAACUCCGAGACUGACGGGAGCUCAUAAUGUGGUAUUACUUGAAGCAUACCUGCCCUUUCCAUUGAGAAGACUUCACACACCCCGCAAAAUGUCGCCCGUAUCUGAAGGCUACUGUGGCAACCUUGUGUCCUCGCGUUCGGUCCGAUGAGGAUCAAAACGGAAGGUGAUUCAGCCAACAAUCCCCUAUUUCGAAUAACAGGUCUGCUCGAAAAGCUGCUGCGAAUCACACGUCGAAUGGUUAACGAGUGGAAACCUUUAAAGAAAAAUAGAGAGGAAAUUGGUAAUGCUGUUAUUAUGGCUGCUCACCGCAACACUACAUUGGAGGAUGGUUUCCCCACUCUGAAGCCGAGACGCAUCCAGAACCAGAACGUGGUCUACAGGCUAGAGAGGCGUCGGAUCUGCUCCGGUCCACUCGGGGCUCAUUGGUACCGUGUGCGCUGUUUCCACCAGAACCUGUUCCCCAACUUCACAGUGGUGAACGUGGAGAAGCCGCCCUGCUUCCUGCGCAAGUUCUCCCCUGACGGACGAUGCUUUAUUGCAUUCUCCUCUGAUCAAACUUCCUUGGAAAUCUACGAGUACCAGGGAUGCCAAGCCGCUGAAGAUCUUCUCCAGGGUCAGGACGGAGAAACGUUGGCCAAUGGGAACGACCAGCGCUCCCUCAACAUCAGAGGCAGACUCUUCGAACGCUUCUUCUCGCUGCUCCACGUCACCAACGUGGCUUCCAACGGUGAGCACUUGAAUAGAGAGUGCAGUCUUUUCACCGACGACUGCCGCUAUGUGAUCGUCGGCUCCGCUGCCUACUUGCCGGAGGAACCUCAUCCGCACUUUUUCGAGGUGUACAGAAACAACGAAUCCGUGACACCAAACCCACGCUCACCCCUUGAAGACUACUCUCUGCACAUCAUAGACCUGCACACAGGCCGACUGUGUGAUACACGCACCUUUAAGUGUGACAAAAUCAUCCUGUCACACAAUCAAGGACUGUACCUGUACAGAAAUAUAUUGGCUGUGCUUUCUGUGCAGCAACAGACCAUACAUGUUUUCCAGGUGACACCAGAAGGAACGUUCCUUGACGUGCGCACCAUCGGCCGUUUUUGUUACGAGGAUGACCUGUUGACGCUGUCUGCGGUUUACUCCGAAGCCCAGGCUGAAGGCCAGCCCGGUUUCUCCCGCCUUUAUAAGGAGAAAACCAUCAACUCAUUGAAGCACCGUCUCCUGGUGUACCUGUGGAGGAGGGCAGAGCAGGACGGCAGUGCCACGGCCAAGCGGCGGUUCUUUCAAUUCUUCGAUCAGCUCAGGCAGCUGCGCAUGUGGAAGAUGCAGCUCCUGGACGAACAUCACCUGUUCAUCAAGUACACCAGCGAAGAUGUAGUCACACUGAGGGUCACCGACCCCUCGCAGCCCUCUUUCUUCGUGGUUUACAAUAUGCUAACCACUGAGGUUAUUGCAGUUUUCGAGAACACUUCUGACAAACUUCUGGAGCUUUUUGAAAACUUCUGCGACCUCUUCCGUAACGCCACACUCCACAGCGAGGCUGUGCAGUUCCCCUGCUCUGCUUCCAGCAACAACUUUGCCCGCCAGGUACAACGCAGGUUCAAAGACACCAUCGUGAAUGCCAAAUACGGAGGGCACACAGAAGCGGUCAGAAGGCUUCUUGGUCAGCUGCCCAUCAGUGCUCAGUCCUACAGCAGUAGCCCGUAUCUGGAUCUUUCCCUCUUCAGCUACGAUGACAAGUGGGUGUCUGUCAUGGAGCGGCCAAAGACCUGUGGCGAUCAUCCCAUAAGGUUCUAUGCGAGGGACUCUGGAUUGCUGAAAUUUAAGAUCCAGGCAGGCCUGCUGGGCAGACCCAUUAACCACACUGUCAGGAGACUGGUCGCGUUCACCUUCCAUCCCUUCGAGCCCUUCGCCAUCUCUGUGCAGCGCACCAACGCCGAAUACGUUGUCAACUUUCACAUGCGCCACGGAUGCGUAUGAUAUUGCAUGUAGUAUCUGAGCAGGUUCCCCAUUGAUUCGUGAAGUCUCUUGUCACUUGCCGUCAGUCAGUCAAAGAAAGCACACAUACUCCAUUGCAAUACCUUUCUCCAUUAAACCAGAGGAGGGCAGUGCUUUAUUCACAGGGAAGCCUUCUCCAGAGGACGAGAUCUGGGAGUUUAUCCUCAAACGCAGAAUAACACCACGCUGUGUCAGCAGUCAGGUCUGAAACAUUGUCAUGAAUCAGAGGGGACGGAGAUGUUGUCCAACCUAUGGAAGGAAAACGGCGAGGGAGAAAUUGAAAGGGAAACCGAGGGCAUCGUGCUUCUCACAAGCUGACAAUUCCACCGACUCUGUCAGACAGCAGUUGACUGCUACUCUGCUAUUCCUGUUCGAGGGCUGAACCCACUCUGCCUUGUUGGCACAGAUAUUUUUAGCCCUGGCGUUUGGCAGAGAGACCAGCACUAAGAGUGAUGGGGCCACACAGGCCUCCAACGGCAAAAGGGCAGCAGUGGGAAGAAGAGGGCGGAGGCGGGGAAGGUCACAUGGGCCACUGGAGACGAGAGAGUGGAGGAUGAGGUGAUGAGAUCUGCUGAUUGAAAUCUGUCAUUGACAGGCUGCUGCUUAUACCUGUGAAAGCAGAAACCCACGGCUCCACUAAAACAAGCAUUCUGGCCACACAUGCUGAUGGAAAGCACCAGUACAGACAUGGGCUCUACAGUGAGAUGAGGGGCCGCCCGCUGCGCUGAAGAUGCGGCAUGAGGGGCUUUGUGCUGGGAAGCAGAGAAACUGUCAUGUCCGCUUCUAUUCUCUUCUUCCUCUGUGAAUUCAGAAAGUGCCAGCAGGCCUAAUGUGAAGCUUUGUGGGAGAGCUUCAUGAGAUUUAAACAGAAGAAAGUCAACAAAUUUGAAACGACAUGAGGGGUGGUACCGGACAAACUGUUGGGCGUAUGCUGUGGGCAAUGAAGGAUUGAAUCACCCCGGGGAGGAUGUCUAAUAUACCUGGAGACUGGAGCUGUCCAUUAGCAUUCCCAUUUACCUCCACUGGCACAUUAGCCCUGGAGGUACACGACCAAGUUCAUGCCAUCUUUGCUUCAUACAGGCACUGUUUUCAUUUCCAUCAACCACUCUGGAUUCUACAUAUAGCCCUUAAACUAAUGAAAAUUAAGCAAAAAUUUUCAGAUAAAUUUGGUUAUUUUCAACACAGCUCGUCUGUUUUCAACAUUGAUAAUAUUAAGAUAUGGAUAAUGUGAAAGAAGACUAGUGAUGGCUGCUGGAAAUGUAGCUAUAAAUUAUGUAUUGUAAAAUAUACAGUAAUAAUGUCACAAUAUUAUUAGUAGUAUUAUUAGAAUUGGUGGGCAUAAGAGAUUUCUGUCAAAAACAUUACAAAAAUCGACUUUUGAAUGUCAGUGUGUAAUAUACAGUAUGUAACGCAGGCCAGUAAGAGCUGCAAACUCCCCUGGCCACUUUUGCCACUUUUGAAGGAACUAGUCACUAUCCUGGUUAAACCUUCCCCAGUAAACCAAUGUAAUCUCGUCUUUGUAAUGGUUACUAUCAAUGACUGACAGCUGAAUUGGUCUGGAGAUUAUACCUCAUGAAGGUUGGUGAAUUUAGUAGCUGGCAUUUAAAUAAUCCUGUAUUUCCUUUAUCCCUCCAAAAUAUUAUAUAUUGUCCUUUCCAACGGCUCCUUUCCACACUUUCUGGGUGUUGCUGUACUGUUUGGGCCUUAAGACCUCUUCCCCAUGGCUGUAAGUGUAAACAAUCCCACAGCUCAAACAGUACAGCAUAAUGCUACUGCGGAAAUGCCAAGCCCAUGGGUUCGAUCCCCAGAGAAUGCAUGAACUGAUCAAAUGUGUUCUUUGUAUGUAAUUUAAAAGGUACUGUGUGACCCUGCAUUUUGCAGAUGAACAUUGUUUUGGUUGUGCUUUGGAUCUGCAUGACUGUGUGGAUAAAUGAAUUUCUGCAACUGUGUUUAGAUGGAAAGGAUCUCAAGCUGACUAGCUGAAGACUUCACUGUGGCUUUUCGCAUUAAUAGACAGUACUUCCUUUAUAACUCCCAUACAUUUCAGCAUGGUGCUACAACAACCAUAAUGAAAUAACCCUUCACAAUAGAUAAUGUUUUACAAUGUACUAUGUUAGAGAGCUAUAUAUAGCACUUUAUCUGUUCAAUAACAUACUUUACUCAUCUGUUGAGUAUAAAAAUACCAUCGCCGUGUCACUUUUACAUUUACAUUUACAUAAAUCCCUUAAUUU